UACAGAGGGUGCGAGCGUUGUCCGGAAUCACUGGGCGUAAAGGGCGCGUAGGUGGUUGCUUAAGCGUGCGGUGAAAGCUCGGGGCUCAACUCCGAGUCGGCCGUGCGAACUGGGCUCACUGGAGCAUAGUAGAGGCAGGUGGAAUUCCGGGUGUAGCGGUGGAAUGCGUAGAGAUCCGGAAGAACACCGGUGGCGAAGGCGGCCUGCUGGGCUAUGGCUGACACUGAGGCGCGACAGCGUGGGGAGCAAACAGG
rnacentral:rRNA from 1 species